rnacentral:piRNA from 1 species
UUAAGAUGUACGCCGGCUUCAAUCUGUC